AUUGAACGCUAGCGGCAGGCUUAACACAUGCAAGUCGAGGGGUAUUGGUUUUCGGACCAAGAGACCGGCGCACGGGUGCGUAACGCGUAUGCAAUCUACCUUUUGCAGAGGGAUAGCCCCAGAGAAAUUUGGAUUAAUACCUCAUAGUAUAGUACUUUGGCAUCAAGGAACUAUUAAAGUCACAACGGCAAAGAUGAGCAUGCGUCCCAUUAGCUAGUUGGUAAGGUAACGGCUUACCAAGGCUACGAUGGGUAGGGGUCCUGAGAGGGAGAUCCCCCACACUGGUACUGAGACACGGACCAGACUCCUACGGGAGGCAGCAGUGAGGAAUAUUGGACAAUGGGCGCAAGCCUGAUCCAGCCAUGCCGCGUGCAGGAUGACGGUCCUAUGGAUUGUAAACUGCUUUUANACAGGAAGAAACACUCCGACGUGUCGGAGCUUUGACGGUACUGUAAGAAUAAGGAUCGGCU
rnacentral:rRNA from 1 species